CAGCAGGUGUGCCCCAGGACGCGGGCAGCUCAGGCCGCCCAGGUGGAGCCGGAGGGGUGCUCCCCUGGACACGCCUUCCAGGCUGAGCCACCGGGCCUCUCAGGCCACUUGCUGCAAGGUUCCCCUGCCGGGAAAUGGGUCACAUCCGGGCAAGUUUUUCCAUUGGAGACAACGGCGGCCCUGUCUGUCCCCCGGGAAAGCAGGAAAUCGCAGCAGUGCCGUGGCCUCGAGCCUCGGCCUUCCUCCCGGUGCGUGACGUCACUUCAGGCUUCUUCCCUCCGCUGGCUGGAGUCUGAUCCAACACCCACACAGAAAUUCCUGAAGCCUCCAGUGUGCGGGGACUCGAGGAGCCAGACCGCUCUUGGCUCAGGUGGACGUGGCCCAAG